rnacentral:rRNA from 1 species
UACGUAGGGGGCUAGCGUUGUCCGGAAUCAUUGGGCGUAAAGCGCGUGUAGGCGGUCCGGUAAGUCCGCUGUGAAAGUCGAGGGCUCAACCCUCGAAUGCCGGUGGAUACUGUCGGGCUCGAGUCCGGAAGAGGCGAGUGGAAUUCCUGGUGUAGCGGUGGAAUGCGCAGAUAUCAGGAGGAACACCGAUGGCGAAGGCAGCUCGCUGGGACGGUACUGACGCUGAGGCGCGAAAGCGUGGGGAGCGAACAGG